CAAGUGGAGCUGAAAGGCUGAGCCACCCCUGACUGGCUGGCAGGGACAUCACAGCCACUCACUUGGACCUGAUGUGGCAGCGGCUUGUCAUGGCCAUGAGCUAUCAGCCACCCACCAAAUAUCCUACAAGAUACAGACCCACGCAGACUCAACACCAAAUGCAUUGAUUCAUUGACGCAAGAUGGCAAAACCCCUUGCUGAAAGGAGUACUUCUGGGGACAAAGGGAAGGACUUCUGGUGGCAAAGAUCAGGAGUUACGGGACAGGACUUCGUCACAGGAUAAUGACCAGGAGCGCGGCACCUGUCAAGGG